rnacentral:rRNA from 1 species
AGAGUUUGAUCAUGGCUCAGGAUGAACGCUAGCGGCAAGCUUAAUACAUGCAAGUCGAGGGGAGCAUGGGUAGCAAUACCUGAUGGCGACCGGCAAACGGGUGCGGAACACGUACGCAACCUUCCCAAAACUGGUGAAUAGCCUUUCGAAAGAGAGAUUAAUACACCGUAACAUAACGAGCAGGCAUCUUCUUGUUAUUAUAGUAGCAAUACGUUGGAUGGGCGUGCGCCUGAUUAGAUAGUUGGCGGGGUAACGGCCCACCAAGUCUGCGAUCAGUAACUGGUGUGAGAGCACGACCAGUCACACGGGCACUGAGACACGGGCCCGACUCCUACGGGAGGCAGCAGUAAGGAAUAUUGGUCAAUGGACGCAAGUCUGAACCAGCUAUGCCGCGUGAAGGAUGAAGGUCCUCUGGAUUGUAAACUUCUUUUAUCUGGGACGAAAAAAGCUCAUUCUUGAGCACUUGACGGUACCAGAGGAAUAAGCACCGGCUAACUCCGUGCCAGCAGCCGCGGUAAUACGGAGGGUGCAAGCGUUAUCCGGAUUCACUGGGUUUAAAGGGUGCGUAGGUGGGCAGGUAAGUCAGUGGUGAAAUCUCCGAGCUUAACUCGGAAACUGCCAUUGAUACUAUCUGUCUUGAAUUAUCUGGAGGUGAGCGGAAUAUGUCAUGUAGCGGUGAAAUGCUUAGAUAUGACAUAGAACCCAAUUGCGAAGGCAGCUCCUACGGAUAUAUUGACACUGAGGCACGAAAGCGUGGGGAUCAAACAGGAUUAGAUACCCUAGUAGUCC